GAUGACCAAGUCCUAGUCAUGCUUUUCCACAGCUUUCUUGAACUUCUUCUUGCUAAAUUUUGAUCUCUAAAUUGAUAAUUUUGAGAUGAGAUUUGAAGCUAUGAAAGUCCAAGAAAGCUGUGGGAAAAGAUGGCAAGCUUUGGACUUAUU